UACGGAGGUUGCAAGCGUUAUCCGGAAUGAUUGGGCGUAAAGCGUCCGCAGGUGGCGAUGUAAGUCUGCUGUUAAAGAGUGAGGCUUAACCUCAUAAAAGCAGUGGAAACUACAUCGCUAGAGUGCGUUCGGGGCAGAGGGAAUUCCUGGUGUAGCGGUGAAAUGCGUAGAGAUCAGGAAGAACACCGGUGGCGAAGGCGCUCUGCUAGGCCGCAACUGACACUGAGGGACGAAAGCUAGAGGAGCGAAUGGG
rnacentral:rRNA from 1 species